rnacentral:rRNA from 1 species
GACGAACGCUGGCGGCGUGCUUAACACAUGCCAGUCGUACGGUAAGGCCCUUUCGGGGGUACACGAGUGGCGAACGGGUGAGUAACACGUGAGUAACCUGCCCACAACUUUGGGAUAACGCUAGGAAACUGGUGCUAAUACUGGAUAUGUGCUCCUGCUGCAUGGUGGGGGUUGGAAAGCUCCGGCGGUUGUGGAUGGACUCGCGGCCUAUCAGCUUGUUGGUGGGGUAGUGGCCUACCAAGGCAGCGACGGGUAGCCGGCCUGAGAGGGUGACCGGCCACAUUGGGACUGAGAUACGGCCCAGACUCCUACGGGAGGCAGCAGUGGGGAAUAUUGCACAAUGGGCGCAAGCCUGAUGCAGCAACGCCGCGUGCGGGAUGACGGCCUUCGGGUUGUAAACCGCUUUCAGCAGGGACGAAGCUUUUUGUGACGGUACCUGCAGAAGAAGCACCGGCUAACUACGUG